GGUUGACCUCGGAUCAGGUAGGGAUACCCGCUGAACUUAAGCAUAUCAAUAAGCGGAGGAAAAGAAACCAACAGGGAUUGCCUCAGUAACGGCGAGUGAAGCGGCAACAGCUCAAAUUUGAAAUCUGGCUCCUCUAGGGGUCCGAGUUGUAAUUUGUAGAGGAUGCUUCGGGCAAGGUCGUGGUCUAAUUUGCUUGGAACAGCAAGUCAUAGAGGGUGAGAAUCCCGUCUAGGAUCGUACGCCGCGUCCAUGUGAAGCUCCUUCGACGAGUCGAGUUGUUUGGGAAUGCAGCUCUAAAUGGGUGGUAAAUUUCAUCUAAAGCUAAAUAUUGGCCAGAGACCGAUAGCGCACAAGUAGAGUGAUCGAAAGAUGAAAAGCACUUUGAAAAGAGAGUUAAACAGUAUGUGAAAUUGUUGAAAGGGAAGCGCUUGCAAUCAGACUUGUGUCUGACGGUUCCCCCGGCCUUCUGGCCGGGUUACUCCGUCACGUCCAGGCCAACAUCGGUUUGGGUGGUCGGUGAAAGACCCCGGGAAUGUAUCUACCUUCGGGUCGACUUAUAGCCCGGGGUGCAAUGCGGCCCACCCGGACCGAGGAACGCGCUUCGGCUCGGAUGUUGGCGUAAUGGUUGUAAGCGGCCCGUCUUGAAACACGGACCAAGGAGUCUAACAUCUAUGCGAGUGUUUGGGUGUCAAACCCCUACGCGUAAUGAAAGUGAACGGAGGUAAGAACCCCGUAAGGGGCGCAUUAUCGACCGAUCCUGAUGUCUUCGGAUGGAUUUGAGUAAGAGCAUAGCUGUUGGGACCCGAAAGAUGGUGAACUAUGCAUGAAUAGGGUGAAGCCAGAGGAAACUCUGGUGGAGGCUCGCAGCGGUUCUGACGUGCAAAUCGAUCGUCAAAUUUGUGCAUAGGGGCGAAAGACUAAUCGAACCAUGGUUAAAGAAUACCUAUAAGGUGCCUAUCAGGUGGUUCUCCACCAGUCCCUCGGGGCAACAUCGUCCUUCUGGCGGGAUCACACCCGCAGCAGCUGGAAAAUUAGCUGUCCACAGACUAGGAGACGGUGGUCAUCUUGACCGAAAGAUGAUGAUGAUAUAGUCGG
rnacentral:rRNA from 1 species